CUCGCACAAGGACUCACAUUAUUACUUUAAUAUAUACAUAAAAAGUCAAUAAAUGCUAUUAUUUGAAGUAUUACUACAUAAAUAAAUACAUUACUGUAAAACUGUUAAUAUUUUCUAAAAGAGUUUUUGGGCACAACAAGCGAGAAGCAAUUAUUGAAAAUGACUCAGAAGAAGAUCAAGUCAGAUGUCGUAACUGACCUCAAAACCAGAUACAGUUGCAACACCUGAGUGGUUGGUGUAGUGGAGACAGUCUUUGAAUAACAGUGUUUCAACCAUUCCCUAUCUCCUUAACUGCACCUCUCAUCCGCACCCUCGUUUCCUCAUUAGACAAGUACAAGUCGCUGUAAAUAUGCAGCUGUUGAACAUUUAUAGCUGGUGGAAAUACUCAGCAGCAAGGAUACUCACAAAUACUCCAUGUAGGGAACAUGUUACUCCAGAAUUAUACUGUUUAUUUAAUGAGCAAUUCAAUUUUAGAUUAUAUUGAUUAAUUUUAAAUCACUACAUGGUAUGGAUGCAUAGGGCGGCAGAAAGGGCGGAGGGUCAUGUUUGAUUCUUAGUAGGUGAAAACACAAUUCCUCUGUUUGCAGGAUCCCAUUAACUCAGGUGAAUUUUCACUUGAGUAGGUCAUUAAGUAACGGCAGGUAGUGGACUCAUGAGGAAUAAGUGUGUCUGCUGAAGAGCAGGACGCAAGCACAAUCUACUAGUGGGCGGAGUCAAAGGCAGGAUCUACUCGUCUCCCGUGAGAGCAAGGGAAAUUAUUAGAGAGUACAUGUGAGAAAUAUGCAAAAAGCGGGAAAGAAAAACCAACAGGAAAUACGUUUUCACACCACUGUAUGGUCCAGUGACAUUGGAGAGUUUACAGUUGAGUGCUUGACGGAUGUGGGGGGUGUUGAAAGAGGAAGCGCAGCUUGUCAUCACUGUGCUGCUGCUACCAGAAACUGCAGAAGAAUGAAGACAGACGGACCACAGAAGGUAACACAGAAACACAGCAGAUAAAACACAUUAUUAUUAUUAUCAUUAUUAUUAUUAUUAUUUACAAUUAAGGCUGUAUAACAUCGAUAUGUAAAGGAUAUUUUUUAUCUGAUGAGAUGUUGGAACAAAAAAAAAUCCAAAUCAUGAUUUCACUGGUUUGUACAUUUCUCUGGUGGCUCAAUGGUGUAAUGCUUAAACGAAAGAUCCCCAGUUUGAUUUUGGGGUUGUGUCCAAAAGGGGAACUGGCAUAAAAAGCUGGCCUAAUCAAACAAAUGAGCAGCUGAAAGCAGUUUCAUCCUCUACAUCUAUCUAAAAGUUUAAGAUUUUACCUGCAAAAGACGUGAGCAGCUCCUAAAAAUGAAAUGCUGCUCCUUAAACCGCUAAAGAAUGGAUAUAUAUAAAAAUAAAAAAAUCUGCACCUCAACUAAGAGAUUGAAAAAAAAAAACUAUCACAGGCAUUAAUAAAUACAUUAUUAAUGACGGUCCAACGAUAUAACUCUCUGACAGGAUUUAUAACUCUUACUUUUACUGCUGCUUUAAGUGCAAUAAGGUGCUUAUGAUUUAAAAAAAAAAAUCACAAUUAGGAUUUUUAUAUGGUUUUAUUUCUGCUUAUUCAAAGACUGUAUUAAUUUAAUCGUAAGUCUAUGGAAAUAUUCUAAACUGCUUGCUUGAAAGUACCAAAUGUAUUUAGUGCCAAAAAGUAAGUAAAGUACUUUAUGUCUGGGUAUCUGUUGGCAACUGAGGGAAGUAAGUAAUGGGAUAAGAAUUACACAGUAAAAGUGUACAAAUUCAUCAUUUGGAUACAAACAGGAGGAAAGCGAAGGAAAAACUUAAAUUUUGAUUUAAUUUUGAUUUUGAUUUAUUCAUAAAACACACAGAUGGGCCAGAUAAAGAAAAAGACACUUCAGAUGUAGAUUACAGUGUCAGAACGUAUUAAAUAUUACGACAUAAAGUAAUACAUUCAGGAUUCAGAGCUUACAUUUGUCCCAGGUUUAAUUUUUAGUAGAGAAAUUAAAAUAAGGGUCUGCGAUAGUGAGAAUGAAAGAUUAAUAUGAAAAAGCAAUCAUUAAAUCAAAUGUACAGAAUUAAGAUAAGCGUUGGUGUACUGUUUGUUGUAGUCGUUGACAGCUAUUUGUAGGCGAAUAUGUACAUAUCCAAAUAUUCAGUGAGAAGGCUUGACAUAAGCUUCAUUUAGUUAAAAACAGUAAAGACAGCCGUCCUACAUCAUUAGAAAAAAGUUCCUUAAAAAAAACUUUACGUUGAGUUUUGAGAGUCAGGAAGUCAAAAUGAGAAGGUCCCUAUAUGCUAUAUUCAUAUUGGAGUCCAUUAAAAACCUUUUAAUCUGCUCUGAAAACCAAUGCAAGCUUUUGCUGCCAGAUUUAUAAACACUGCAAGAUUUUUCCAGCAUUUUCCUCUAGCAUAUGUUCACUCCAUUGCUCAUGGCAAUAGAUCCAAGUUUUUCCUUCAUGGGGAUUUUUGGCGCGCCAAUGUGAAAUUUGUUGCCGCUGUAAUAUUAAAUUUUUUAUUAUUGUGGUUUAAAUGACUCAAUCACAGUUGGAUUUUUCUUUAUCAGAUGAGAAGUGAAUGCACAGAUUUCAUUAAGAUAACAAGCAUUUUCACUCUACUGUGUGUGGACCAAAGGCGUUAAGUGAAUAACAGCAAAUAGAGCGAUGUUUGGCAUCAUCCAAAUACCAAACACGUCCACGUUUCUCUGCAGCAGGACACAAAAUCUUUACAAAUAGCAACAAAGAUUAAUCAGCGCUCAGAGAAAGAGUACGUGCUGCAGGGGGGCUGUGAUGGAAAAACUGCCGCCCGCUGGAAAGAGACUUUCCAAUGAGACUACAACUUGAGAUGUGAAACCAAAGCAUUUCACAAUGGAUGGAAAUAAUAAACUAUGAUGGAGAAUGCAUAACUCAUGUUCAAACCCAGCACUGACAUGCUGAUGAUAUUUAAAGGUGUCAAAUAUUUACAUAUUUAUACAUCCCUUUCCAAAACGCUGCAUUAAAUGUUACUUAGAUCCCACACAUAGAGUUCACUCUGACUAAAUGUGUGAAUUUUGCCUAAUUACCACUGACAAUUAUAACCUGUGCGCUUAAGUUUGCUCAUUGUAAACUUAAACGCAUUACUUCA
rnacentral:lncRNA from 1 species